AAAGGGCAAUAACACAUUUACUUGGCUUGGAACCUAGGCCCUUCUAGUUUGGAUAUCACAGCUUUACCACUGAACCAAUGUGUUUUUCUCAAUAGGCUUCUGUGCGUCGGACCCUUGUCUCAAUAGAGGUACUUGCAUACCAGCUGAACAACAGUGUGCUUGCUCAUCGCUCUACGCAGGAACAACAUGCAACAUUGACCAAACACAAGAUGGUGUGCCAACCGUUACCUCUCACCCCAGAAAUAAAACUGUAGGUAUAUCGGAGAUGGUAGUAUUGAACUGUGAAUUCCAAGAUGUUCUGCACUUUGACUGGUGGAGAGAUGGAAAAAAGGUGCCUGACACCCGCGAUAUAUCUAACUAUGUCAUCGGUGAGAUGACCCCCUCUGAUCAGGCGUAUUAUAGCUGUGUCGGUUUCCCAGAAAACGGACCUCAUAUUGAAAGCAACCACGCACUGCUUAGAAUCAGAGAUAUGUCUAUUUUUCAUCUGAAGUUCAAGCUUGUAGGAAAUUUCACGACAUUUCAAGCUGAUCAAGAAUCUUCAGAUUACAAGACCCUUGUGCGUGAUAUUCAA